rnacentral:rRNA from 1 species
UACGUAGGGGGCAAGCGUUGUCCGGAUUUAUUGGGCGUAAAGAGCGUGUAGGCGGCCAUGCAGGUCAGCUGUGAAAACUCGAGGCUCAACCUCGAGACGUCGGUUGAAACCGUAUGGCUAGAGUCCGGAAGAGGAGAAUGGAAUUCCCGGUGUAGCGGUGAAAUGCGCAGAUAUCGGGAAGAACACCCGUGGCGAAGGCGGUUCUCUGGGACGGUACUGACGCUGAGACGCGAAAGCGUGGGGAGCGAACAGG